GCUGGUUGGGCAGAGAAGGCUCUAAUCCCAUAGAAAGGAUCAGAUCAGGACUAGGAGCAGACCCAAACCCCCUCUCUGGACAGAAGAUCAGGAGGAGUAGGAUAAAUGCUCUCAACCCCUCCCAGUCUCUUUAUAGAGCCGCUCGGAGGACAGGAGGAAGCUUACAGAAGAGAUGGAACUAGUACCUUUGUGCUCAGAGGAUCGAAAGGGGGAUGACAAUUUUUUGAGAGAAUUCCAGGUUUUCUUUUGUUGCUGAAUUUGUCUCAUAUCUGAGGAUUAG